GCCUUAGUAGUAUAAAAAUUACAUUGGUCUUGUAAGCCAAAAACGGAGUAAUACUCUCCCUAAGACA
rnacentral:tRNA from 1 species